UGAACCGGCGUCCUCAAUUUACGGUGUUCCAACCUAGUUAUACGAAGGAGAGAAGGUUCUGUCGAUUUUCAAUCUAUCUCACUAUCGUUUGUCUUUCUGUAUUUUAUUCAUUCAUCAUUCCGUUCAUGUUUAAGAUUGAGAUUUUCUUUCCUAAUCGGCAUUGAUUAAACCCUAAAAUGAGUGAACUCCACGAGAAGGUCGUGAUGCUCUCGUAGGAGAGUUAGAACCUGCAGAUAGAGAAGGGUUAGAGAACUCCCCUUUCAAGGUUUUAAUCUAUCGCCGUUGCACCGACGAUUAUCCAGUAACAAGAGAAGGCGAGCGUAUUUGCAGAAGAAGGCAAUCAUGGAAGCCGCGAGAACAGAGAAAAUCGAUCACGAGGUUGGAGGAUUCCAAAAUGACAUACUUCGUUUUGAACUUUAAAGCGUUCAGAACGAUAUCAUUGGAUCUCAUCCUAUUGAAUCUGCACAGCAAUUGGUGAAUAAGGUGCAGGAGGAGAUGAAGAGGAUAGUGCUUGUAAACACCUAUGGCUCAACUUUUCCCAUGAGAAUGGAACUUGAUACUCAGAUUAUGUCCAAAAGCAACUAGAGAAUCUUGGUGCUCAACGAGUAUGGAUUAAAGACAUGUUUAAAGAGAUAAAGAUGAAGGUAUAUUUAUUACACAUUUCUCCCUGACCCUGCUUUUCGCUAUAUAUGAAUGAUUCCAUUCUUUGUUCUAUC